UACGUAGGGUGCAAGCGUUGUCCGGAAUUAUUGGGCGUAAAGAGCUCGUAGGCGGUCUGUCGCGUCUGCUGUGAAAACUCAGGGCUUAACCCUGAGCUUGCAGUGGGUACGGGCAGACUAGAGUGCGGUAGGGGAGACUGGAAUUCCUGGUGUAGCGGUGAAAUGCGCAGAUAUCAGGAGGAACACCGGUGGCGAAGGCGGGUCUCUGGGCCGGAACUGACGCUGAGGAGCGAAAGCAUGGGGAGCGAACAGG
rnacentral:rRNA from 1 species